CUACAGAAAGGAAGUUUUUAUGAUGUUCUGUCAAGAAAAUACCAGAUUAAUGGGUACUCAACCUGGCAUGGGGGCAGGAAGAUUCUUUGGCAAGGAGGUGCUAAUUGUACCUCUGAUCUAUGAGCUACUCCUUUUGUGAAAGAG